rnacentral:misc_RNA from 1 species
GUAGGGGAUGACAUGAGGAGAGGAAUCUCUGGUGGACAAAAGAAGCGUGUAACCACUGGAGAAAUGCUGGUUGGACUCACAAAAGCAUUUUUCAUGGAGCUGGACAGCUCCACUACUUACCAAAUUAUCAAGUUCAUGAGGCAGAUGGUUCGUAUCAUGGAUACUACAAUGGUUAUCUCUCUUUUGCAGCCUGCACCAGAG